AUCUGGGCGGCGGAAUUCAGGAUGGCCGGCGUGCUCUCGCAGUGCGUCGGUCGUUUGAUAUUUCCGUCGCCAACAAACYGCAGACGUCGCGACCUGUUCGCGGUCGGUCCUUGCUCGGAGGAGCCACGUUCGAGCUCGUUGUGUGCGCGUUUCGGCGUGUCACACGGCGAAGGCGUGGAUCUCUGGCUGGCCGUCGGACAGUAUGCUUAGCGGUGUCCGGUGUCGUCGUCUCGUACGCGCGGCACCGGUACCGGUCAGCGACGAAUUCUUCGGGCCUCUUUCCGACCCGUCUUGAAACACGGACCAAGGAGUCUAACAUGCGCGCGAGUCGCGGGGUAUCGAGCGUACUUCGGUGCGUUCGUUAUGUUGCGAAACCCGUACAUGUUGAAGGCGUAAUGAAAGUGAAUGGGGAAGAUGGUGUUCCGAGUACACGUUCCGCGAUCGUUGGUAUCGCGGCCGGACACCCGCAUUCCCGGGGCGUCUCAACGGCCCGUCGCUGAUGCGGACAGUCGUCUUUCGGGGCGGCUGUCGGUCGGCGACGAACCGA
rnacentral:rRNA from 1 species